rnacentral:rRNA from 1 species
AAUCAACGCUGGCGGCGUGCCUAACACAUGCAAGUCGAACGAGAAAGUGGAGCAAUCCAUGAGUAAAGUGGCGACCGGGUGAGUAACACGUGACUAACCUACCUUCGAGUGGGGGAUAACCUCGGGAAACCGGGGCUAAUACCGCAUAACAUCUUUGGAGUGGAAAUUUCGGAGAUCAAAGGAGCAAUUCGCUGGAAGAGGGGGUCGCGGCUGAUUAGCUAGUUGGCGGGGUAACGGCCCACCAAGGCUAGAUCGGUAGCCGGCCUGAGAGGGCGCACGGCCACACUGGAACUGAAACACGGUCCAGACUCCUACGGGAGGCAGCAGUGGGGAAUUUUGCGCAAUGGGGGAAACCCUGACGCAGCAACGCCGCGUGGAGGAUGAAGUCCCUUGGGACGUAAACUCCUUUCGACCCGGACGAUAAUGACGGUACGGGUGGAAGAAGCCCCGGCUAACUACGUGCCAGCCGCCGCCGU